AUUGAACGCUGGCGGAAUGCUUUACACAUGCAAGUCGAACGGCAGCACGGACUUCGGUCUGGUGGCGAGUGGCGAACGGGUGAGUAAUGUAUCGGAACGUGCCCAGUCGCGGGGGAUAACGUAGUGAAAAUUACGCGAAUACCGCAUACGAUCUAUGGAUGAAAGCGGGGGAUGGCAAGACCACGCGCGAUUUGAGUGGCCGGAAUAAGAUUAGGUAGUUGGUGGGGUAAAUGCCCACCAAGCCAACGAUCUGUAGCUGGUCUGGGAGGACGACCAGCCACACUGGAACUGAGACACGGUCCAGACUCCGACGGGAGGCAGCAGUGGGGAAUUUUGGACAAUGGGCGAAAGCCUGAUCCAGCCAUUCCGCGUGCAGGAUGAAGGCCCUCGGGUUGUAAACUGCUUUUGUACAGAACGAAAAGGUUUCUACUAAUACUAGGAGCUCAUGACGGUACUGUAAAAAUAAGCACCGGCUAACUACGUGCCAGCCGCCGCCGUAA
rnacentral:rRNA from 1 species